rnacentral:rRNA from 1 species
GAUGAACGCUGACAGCAUGCUUAACACAUCAGCAAUUGAUUGGUGGCGGACGGGUGAGUAACGCGUAAAGCACUUACCUCACAGUUAGGGACAACAUUUGGAAACGAAUGAUAAUACCUAAUACUGUGAGAGAGCUUUGCGUCCCAUUAGCUAGUGGGAGAGGUAACGGCUCACCAAGGCGAUGAUGGUUAGCCGGCCUGAGAGGAUAAUCGGCCACAAGGGGACAGGGAGACGGCCAUUACUCCUACGUGAGGAAGCAGUGGGGAAUAAUGGAGCAUGGACAAAAGUCUGAUCAAGCAAUUCUGUGGGAAAGAUGAAGGUUUCGGAAGGAAGAGUGCGUUAAGUGGGGAAGCGGUACCAACAGAAGAAGUGACGGCUAAAUACGUGCCAGCAGCCGCGGUAAUUC